UACGAAGGGGGCGAGCGUUGUUCGGAAUUACUGGGCGUAAAGGGCGCGUAGGCGGUCCCUUUUGUCGCGUGUGAAAGCUCCGGGCUCAACCUGGGAGGUGCGCGCGAAACGGGGGGGCUUGAGUUCGGGAGAGGAGAGUGGAAUUCCCAGUGUAGAGGUGAAAUUCGUAGAUAUUGGGAAGAACACCGGUGGCGAAGGCGGCUCUCUGGACUGACACUGACGCUGAGGCGCGAAAGCUAGGGGAGCAAACAGG
rnacentral:rRNA from 1 species